rnacentral:rRNA from 1 species
GAUGAACGCUAGCUACAGGCUUAACACAUGCAAGUCGAGGGGCAGCAUGGUCUUAGCUUGCUAAGGCCGAUGGCGACCGGCGCACGGGUGAGUAACACGUAUCCAACCUGCCGUCUACUCUUGGACAGCCUUCUGAAAGGAAGAUUAAUACAAGAUGGCAUCAUGAGUCCGCAUGUUCACAUGAUUAAAGGUAUUCCGGUAGACGAUGGGGAUGCGUUCCAUUAGAUAGUAGGCGGGGUAACGGCCCACCUAGUCUUCGAUGGAUAGGGGUUCUGAGAGGAAGGUCCCCCACAUUGGAACUGAGACACGGUCCAAACUCCUACGGGAGGCAGCAGUGAGGAAUAUUGGUCAAUGGGCGAGAGCCUGAACCAGCCAAGUAGCGUGAAGGAUGACUGCCCUAUGGGUUGUAAACUUCUUUUAUAAAGGAAUAAAGUCGGGUAUGCAUACCCGUUUGCAUGUACUUUAUGAAUAAGGAUCGGCUAACUCCGUGCCAGCAGCCGCGGUAAUACGGAGGAUCCGAGCGUUAUCCGGAUUUAUUGGGUUUAAAGGGAGCGUAGAUGGAUGUUUAAGUCAGUUGUGAAAGUUUGCGGCUCAACCGUAAAAUUGCAGUUGAUACUGGAUAUCUUGAGUGCAGUUGAGGCAGGCGGAAUUCGUGGUGUAGCGGUGAAAUGCUUAGAUAUCACGAAGAACUCCGAUUGCGAAGGCAGCCUGCUAAGCUGCAACUGACAUUGAGGCUCGAAAGUGUGGGUAUCAAACAGGAUUAGAUACCCUGGUAGUCCACACGGUAAACGAUGAAUACUCGCUGUUUGCGAUAUACAGCAAGCGGCCAAGCGAAAGCGUUAAGUAUUCCACCUGGGGAGUACGCCGGCAACGGUGAAACUCAAAGGAAUUGACGGGGGCCCGCACAAGCGGAGGAACAUGUGGUUUAAUUCGAUGAUACGCGAGGAACCUUACCCGGGCUUAAAUUGCAGAUGAAUUACGGUGAAAGCCGUAAGCCGCAAGGCAUCUGUGAAGGUGCUGCAUGGUUGUCGUCAGCUCGUGCCGUGAGGUGUCGGCUUAAGUGCCAUAACGAGCGCAACCCUUGUUGUCAGUUACUAACAGGUUCCGCUGAGGACUCUGACAAGACUGCCAUCGUAAGAUGUGAGGAAGGUGGGGAUGACGUCAAAUCAGCACGGCCCUUACGUCCGGGGCUACACACGUGUUACAAUGGGGGGGUACAGAGGGCCGCUACCACGCGAGUGGAUGCCAAUCCCAAAAACCUCUCUCAGUUCGGACUGGAGUCUGCAACCCGACUCCACGAAGCUGGAUUCGCUAGUAAUCGCGCAUCAGCCACGGCGCGGUGAAUACGUUCCCGGGCCUUGUACACACCGCCCGUCAAGCCAUGGGAGCCGGGGGUACCUGAAGUGCGUAACCGCGAGGAGCGCCCUAG